CCGACAUGUCUGCAACCCGGAGAGUGCAGCUCAGCUCGGGGUGGUUCUCCACCAGCUGUCAGGGACAGUUAACAAACACCGCUGCAGAGGGAUUCGACCACAAGACCUGCAGGUCGCGACUCACCAAACAUUUUAAAGCCGCCGCGACUUCAUCAUCUCCACAGCUUCUUGCCGGUUUGUUGUUUAAAGUUGUUCGAUGCGAGAAUAAUAAUAAGAUCGGUCCGAAAACUUCAACAAAACAAAGCAGGAAACUAACUAAUGACGGACAUACCUGUGGAGAACCAGGAAGUGGCGGAGCUCGUUCCCUCUCGGCCCUCCGCGCGCACCGCCCAGGAUAUAGAAACCGUGCGCGUCCUCCGUGCCGCUCACCGUCAUCGAUCACCGAUAAUCGAUUCGACGAGGCCCGACUGGAGACCAACAACAAACCAGAGGAAGUGUGCUGGUGUGGAACCAGCGAGGGGACUGGGAUGUUUUUUCCACUCGGCUCGGUCCUUCCCCCUUUUCCUCACCGAAACUCAGAGUUUUUAUUGGGAAAUUACGUCCGUUGGACUCGGAAAAUACAAGGAAGCAGAGAGAAGGAAAUCAACACUGUACAACAAUAAGGACAGAUGAGUCACCUACAGGUACAAUUUGAGGUAGUCAGAAUCUGAAACACACACACACACACGCACACACACACACACACAAGCACAGUGACUGUUUGAGGAAUUGGUGCGAACACGGAAGACUCCUACUAUGAGGAACUAUAAAUAAGUUUUAUUUCCUGAUUUGAUUUGCUUAUGUAAGUAAGAAAUCUGAGGCUGACAAACAUUUUAAAAUAUAUAUUAAAGCUAGUGCUCAGUGACUACAUCAUAUCAGACCUGUUCAAAAAUGUUUGGGAAGGCUUUACAAAAGUACACACUUCUCUGUGUUGGUUCAAAGGAAGGAUAACAGUCUACUCUAUAUAACACACUACAAUCAGGUGAGUUAGCAUCUCUGAAUGCUGCAGAUAGUUCAUCAUGUGUUUACUGUUAAACAACAUGCAACAAGUUCAUGCAUAUAAAGCACUUAAUGGUCGUUGGACAGAAAUCGUGGUGUUUCAUUUCAGCUGGUGUUUAUCAGAAGAUUCAAAGAACGUGUUAUUAACUUCAUGCACCUGAUACCAUGUUUGUUUUUGGCUGUGAAUAUCUACUCAUGUUUUAAUCAUAUGGCGUAUUUGGUCAUAUACUUUGCAUUUUAAAGUUUGUGGAUUAUCCUGAAACCGCAUUUUCACUCAUUCUGCUGUGGCACAGUCAUGUAAAAGUCUGUAAACAGUUGGAAGUCCUAAAUGUUGGCCCUAAUCUCUCCUUGAAUCUUUUGGACUAUGUGUGUCAGGUCCAGACUCUCCGUCAGCGUCUUCAGGAGCAUUUCGUCGUUCAGGACCCCCUCUAUGAACUCCUCAUAGGACAGUUCACCUGGAAAACACACAAACAUACACACUCAGCCCCAGUGCUUCAGUCUGAACUUGUUCAGUUAAACAAAUCUCAUCUGAAGAUCAGUUUUCUGCUGUCCAAAUCACAAACUCUCAGUCAAUCACAGUGAGAGUGAUAUAUUGUAAGGGUCUUGGGGUCUUACCGUCUCCAUUGAUGUCAAUCUUGUCAAACACCAUGUUGGCAAAGUCCUCUGCGGACAUCUCCUGAGGGAUUCCAUUGAUUGCUCGAAUGGACUAAACAUGACACAAAAAGAGAAGUUAAAAGCUGACUGGUGUAUUGUUGCACUCAUCAACCAGCAGAUGUCAGCUAAAUGUCAGCCGUGGGCCUCAGGUCGGAGUCUGGUCUGAGCCUCAGGUGAGGAUUCCCCUGCUAGGUCCCUGAGCCUGGGCAUCUCCCUGAGAGCUGAGUGGUCUCAGCAGGUUGUUUCAGGACAGUCCUGUGGGAGUUUCCACGAUCUCUCACUAAGCCCCUCGUCAAGCUCUGACCUGACAUGGAGGCUCAUUAUCAGUACCUUAAUAAUCUGAAGCAGCUCCUCGCGGUCGAUGCAGCCACUCCCAUCGAUAUCAUACAGUUUGAAAUACCAGCGGAGCUUCUGCUGCACUCCUCCUUUCAGCACCAGACUCAGUGCAGCCACAUACUCCAUGAAGUCAAUGUAACCAUCCUGCAGGGGGGAAAGACUCCGAUGAGCAGCAGUAAAUCACUGUCAGACACAUUAAUAGGCUAUUUUUGCCUGUUGACCACAUCUUUUUUGAAUUUCUUUAAAGAGAAAUUUCUCCCGAAGUGAUGCAGUCACAGCCACGAAAAAAUGAUCUGUUUAUGUUUGCAAGAGGAUAGAAAAUUUGUCCCGAUAACCAAGCAUCCAUCGGUCUCCAGUUCCCGUGUGUGCAUUAAGAGGAUGCACCUGCUAUGUGAACGACUGCAGGUCAGCUGGGUAAGUGGUGUUGGUGGUUUAAGCUCCCUCUCUAAUAGAAUAAGACUACAACAGAUUUUCUAUGAGCAGAAAUAACCCUAGCAACCUUCCUCUUGUCAAAUAACACUGGGGUAGAAAAUGAGGCUGAAUAUGAUUUAGCUCCCUUUUUCUGCUUAUUUAUUUCUGCUUAAGUUUGCCUUAUCCAAUAUAGACAGAAAAUAGCCAAUAAUUUAGGGAAACCUUGAGUAUAUGCAAAUAAACAAUUAUUGAUACUUACGACUACUUAGUCAACCUCAUGAAAACCAGUGGGCUGAAACAUGUAGGUGCAUUUAAAAUAAAUCCUUGUUGGUCUUCGUUUAUUUCCUUUUCUGUUCCCAAACCCUCCUUUUUUCCCUCUUUUCUAAAUAAACAACUAUCUUUGGAUCACAAUAAGGAUGAAGAUAAUUAUAAUUUAUAUUUUUUGAAACAGUAGAUUCAGCAUAAUUUUAUAUUUUUUUGGCAUACAUCAUAUUGAUAUUUUAACAAGAUAUGUACUUUAAAAAAAAGCCAGCUUCCUUUUUUUAUUUUUAAGCAGUGUAUUAAUGAAAAUGUGAAUAAAACAUAAUAAACACUUCACUUCAUCAUUGAUGAAAAGAAACUAACAUACCUCAUAUAAAGAUUCCUCUUUGCUACUGUAGCAACAUUAGACUCAUUACACUGAUUAGUAAAAUUCUUACGUCAUUCAUGUCAAACGUGGUGAACAUGGUCUCGAUGUAGGCGUUUGAUGUGUCCGACAGAUUCCUCAGGCCGAAAAACUGCUUGAACUCGUAGAAGGUGAGAACUCCGGACGGGCACUCGGUCAUGAAUUUUCUGUACCACUGAUGACUCUCACAAGCUUGUAGUUCCUCCACUGUGGAGCUGUUAUAGUUUCCCAUGUCUGUCUGUCAAAAUAUACCUGUAACAUAUCCCAUAGACGCCAUAGCCAGGAUGUGCUGCAUCCACCAAGCACGCAGGCACGGAAAGUAUGUUUACUGAAAAGGCUUUGCAAGUAUCAGUGUGUGUGUGUGUGUGUGUGUGUGUGUGUGUGUGUGUGUGUGUGUGUGUGUGUGUGUGUGUGUGUGUGUGUGUGUGUGUGUGUGUGUGUGUGUGUGUGUGUGUGUGUGUGUGUGUGUUGUAGCCAAUCAGCUUUCUGUGCGUCUGUAUGAAAGCCUUCUGAAGUUCUAAUCCACUUUGCUUGCCAGCGUAUACUUAACUAAUUAAAGAGAGCUAACAACAGAAACUAAUCUUUGAGCACAGGAUGACACCAGAUCACCAAAAACUAAUGUUUCCAAAUAUUAUAUAUUAUUAUAACUUACACAUAACAUGUGUGAAUCAAAUAUGAAUCAUUAGGACUACUCUUUAUUCAUCCAAUAUCUUUUUCAGCAUUAUUGUGUUUCAUGAUGUGAUACAAAUUUCCUCGAUAUUUAAAUGUUUAUUCACAUAAUUUAUCACUGAUAUGAUAGAUGACUAUUGUUUUAUUCACAUCAGACUAUACGGUUUAUUUCAAGAAACCAUUAAUAAGUCUGGGAAUUGGGCUAACUAACAGAAUCCUGUCUAUAUUGUGAUUAAAAAGCUGUCCAUAAUGUUAAUUUUUAAAUCGCGAUAAAUCAGUAAUGGUGACUGGUUCAUUGGCUUUAAUGAUGGAUGUUAUUGAUAAUCCUUUUUUAAUGUUAUUCUUUACAAAACACGUUUCAAAGUGCUUUCUAUGAAAUAUAAAGAAGGUUCCUUUUCAUCACUUUUUAAUGUCACGACAGGUGAAAUAUGGAGUUUACUGCAGUUCAGAGGGCUGUGGAGGCUGGUGCCAUUCAAACUAUAAUACUCAUCUGCAGCUUCUCUGUUGCUCCACACAUUGACAUGGACUCAACUUCAGCAGUAACAGCGGGCAAGUGACAUCUAGUGGAAAAAGAUAGGUAAACACAGCGGCACAUUAGUCACAUGGGGAGGAAAGCUAAAGCUGAAACUGCAUUAACCUUUUUUCAAAAUCAGAAAUAGCAGUUCAAGCGUAUAGUUCAAAUACAAUGUAUGAAAACUAACCUGAGUGACAAUGACUCAUAUUUAAAGUAGGCCACGAUAUCACAGCCGAUGUUCUUAAAUAUCCUUUGCUUAAGUGCUCUCUCAGCUUUCUCUCAGGAACAACAGUCACUGGUUGAUUUAGACCA